rnacentral:sRNA from 1 species
CCCUAGCCCGGAUAGAAGCGGUUAUCCUUUUGCGUAGUUUACGAAGCAAAAGAUAAAAGCGGAUAGCCGGAAAAAGC